GACGUAGGGUGCAAGCGUUGUCCGGAUUUACUGGGCGUAAAGAGCGCGUAGGCGGCUCGUUAAGUGAGAAGUGAAAGCUGUGGGCUCAACCCACAAACCGCUUUUCAUACUGGCGAGCUGGAGUGAUGCAGAGGUGGAUAGAAUUCCUGGUGUAGCGGUGAAAUGCGUUGAUAUCAGGAGGAAUACCCGUGGCGAAGGCGGUCCACUGGGCAUCAACUGACGCUGAGGCGCGAAAGCGUGGGGAGCGAACAGG
rnacentral:rRNA from 1 species